rnacentral:rRNA from 1 species
AUUGAACGCUGGCGGCAGGCCUAACACAUGCAAGUCGAGCGGAUGAAGGGAGCUUGCUCCUGGAUUCAGCGGCGGACGGGUGAGUAAUGCCUAGGAAUCUGCCUGGUAGUGGGGGAUAACGUCCGGAAACGGGCGCUAAUACCGCAUACGUCCUGAGGAAGAAAGUGGGGGAUCUUCGGACCUCACGCUAUCAGAUGAGCCUAAGUCGGAUUAGCUAGUUGGUGGGGUAAAGGCCUACCAAGGCGACGAUCCGUAACUGGUCUGAGAGGAUGAUCAGUCACACUGGAACUGAGACACGGUCCAGACUCCUACGGGAGGCAGCAGUGGGGAAUAUUGGACAAUGGGCGAAAGCCUGAUCCAGCCAUGCCGCGUGUGUGAAGAAGGUCUUCGGAUUGUAAAGCACUUUAAGUUGGGAGGAAGGGCAGUAAGUUAAUACCUUGCUGUUUUGACGUUACCAACAGAAUAAGCACCGGCUAACUUCGUG